rnacentral:rRNA from 1 species
UAGGGAAUCUUCCGCAAUGGGCGAAAGCCUGACGGAGCAACGCCGCGUGAGUGAUGAAGGUCUUCGGAUCGUAAAACUCUGUUAUUAGGGAAGAACAAAUGUGUAAGUAACUAUGCACGUCUUGACGGUACCUAAUCAGAAAGCCACGGCUAACUACGUGCCAGCAGCCGCGGUAAUACGUAGGUGGCAAGCGUUAUCCGGCAUUAUUGGGCGUAAAGCGCGCGUAGGCGGUUUUUUAAGUCUGAUGUGAAAGCCCACGGCUCAACCGUGGAGGGUCAUUGAAAACUGGAAAGCUUGAGUGCAAAAGAGAAAAGUGGAAUUCCAUGUGGAGCGGUGAAAUGCGCAGAGAUAUGGAGGAACACCAGUGGCGAAGGCGACUUUCUGGUCUGUAACUGACGCUGAUGUGCGAAAGCGUGGGGAUCAAACAGG